CAUUUUAAAGCAGGGAGACAGAGUAUGCUGGGGUCCAGCUGACAAUGAAUAGUGUCCCUCUUUCUAUAGGUCCUCAGCUCAGCUCAGGACUUUAUGAGGAGAGUAAAAGCCCUCAUUGAGAUCCACUGAGCAGCCAGCACCAGGAGUGCCAUGGAGCUUGGUCUGCGAACACACCCAGGUGAGUGCAGCCAGGAGACAGGACGGGCCCUGGGUGUGGACACACAGCAUGGUGCCAGCUGCCCCAGCUACCCCAGCCAAGGCCACUGCAGACAGCUAGCCCUGUCCAGGGAAGUCUGGAGAGUCCAUGGCCAGCCCAGCAAGGGAGUGGAGCACUGGCCUGGAGCAGUCUGACAAAACUAGAGCUUCCGCAAGGCGGGAAAGUUGAAAAGCAACAUGGACUGCGAUAGGACAAUGAAGAUCGUUCCUCCCAGGAAGAAGUCCUUGGUCUCCCGCUCUAUAAAUACCCCAGCAGUCCACUUCCUCUCCGUCUCCCUCUCCCUCUC